AUCUGUGGAAACAAAUCUGUUGCAUGGUAAGGUCGUGACAGAUAUGAGGACAUUUCAACUCUUCGGGGUUCUGUUUCACUAAUUUACACAACUGAAAUAAAGCUCAUCUCCUGUGGGUGGACUGCAGGGUAAGUGAUUAAGAGCUGUAAUCUAAGAAUCUUGGUUGAGAGGUGCAAAUACUACUGGGGACUUUGGUUGCCCAGGAAGCUCUCCAUCUGGGCUGGUGCAGAGAAGGUGAAUCUUCAUUCUAUAGUCCUGACACAGGUUCUGGAUGCUUCCUCUUUCCCAGAACAAUGGAUACUUCUAGGAGCUGCAUAACGAGGAACUGAAGUGUUUGAAAUGGGGACUGUUGUCGUUCUUGCCUCCUUUUCCCAAUGUUCAAUGUUGUCCUUGCAACCAUGCCACAGAAUGGGGAAGAUAUAUACUUCUGGGAUGUGCAACCAGACAUGCCCACUGAGGUGGAAUCUGAGCGCUAGGAAGAGCCCAAGCCAGCUGCCAGGGAACUGACAUCAAGGAUCUACCACGAAGCAAGGGAGUGACCCUGGAGUAGAUCCAACUCAGGAAUGGGAAGUGGAGGAGCACUUGUUUUCCUGAUAAAGGCCCUUGGAUAUCACUGGACUCCACUGCUAGGCCGGGAACAGGCCUGAUCAUAUUCUCUGAAGUCAUCUUGUUAGGCUGAGACAAGACAAGACUCCUGACUGUCACUGCAACAAACAAAGGAACUUCCUGGUGAUUGCCCAUGUGUUCCCUCUCAUUUCUCACCCUCCCUUCAGGCACAAAGGAGGCCAGUGCUCCACAUGCUGCAAGCUGGCAGAGCCUCUGUCAGCCUGGAUCCCUUAAUGACUACGUGGAACAGAGCUCCCCAGCAGACCCAUGUAGGACUCACAGCUUGAGCAAGAAAGAAACUUUGCUGUGCUAUGCCUACUAAAAUUUGGGGGUUAACUUGUUACUGCAGCAUAACCUAAUCUAGCCCUGGUUAAUAUUUCAAGUUUGCUUUUAGAUUGAUAAUGUCUUUAUGAGCCUCUUUUAGACAGUCUACAUCCUUAAACUGUCUUGCAAGGACUUCUAAGCUGAAUAUGACCUGCCGCUCCGGAACCUCUUACAGUCACCCUGUUGAGCUUCCUUUUAUGCUAGAACUGUAGUCUCUCUGGGAUCAGCAAGAGAUUCCAGGAAUUCACUUCAUAUUUCCCUUUGCCAGAAUUACUAGACCUACAACUGGGAAAACACGACAGUCAAUGUAUCCAGACUUUUUUCAGUUUUUAACUAUACCAGCAAUUUCUUACACUCACUGAUUUCUCUGGUGACAAUAUUUUUGCUCUCACUCCCACCACUUUAUCUCCUUUCCUGGCUAACAAUUUCCAGGUAUCAAAGUAAAUACCAUUUCCUCCAGGGAGCAUUCCUUGCUUUCCCCAACAAGGUGGGAAUCCAUCUGUUGUACACAACAAUGCCACUGUAAAAAACACUCAGAUCAUUUGCAAUAUCUUUUUAACAUCUUUUCUACUAAGUUAUAAAUUCCAUGAUGACAGGGGAGGCAGCUGGCUUUUUUACUAUAUAUUCAUUUUAAAUACUGUGCCUGGAGGAGAGUAGGUACUUACAAAUUACCUUCUGAUCAUUGCCUUUAUAAAUAAGAGGGAGAACAAUUCAGACAGCCAUUCUCCUCAACAUGAUAAGGGAGCUCUCACAUUAAAAUCCUAGGUCUAGAAAGAGAAGACAUCUCUCCUUUGAAGCAGUCUAUAAGUCAUACUGUAGAGAAUUGUUUCCCACAAAUUGCUUUCUGUAAAGCUUAGUUCCAUUUCAAAACUCUGAAAUAAAAUCAGAUCCUUGGCUUCUUGAUUCUGCUUUAUACUUAGCUUACUGUAAUGUCGACACUAUUUUUAUAGGCUAGAAACUAGCGGAGUGUUCAUAAAGAGAGAUGACAUGAAAGCCUGGCUCAAGAUCUCAAAAUUAUAGGGUGCCCCCACUCUGAUGAGAAGAGAACUUCAGAAUGGAGCCACACUCCCCAAACGGUCCCAGUGUUGAAUUGCUUUUGCUUCUCAUUCUUUGGCACUAUAAAGAAAACUUUGAGUGUAAAACGCUUAGAGGAAACUUUCUACCACCCCCCUGAGCUAACAAAUGCCAUGAGCUAUCUGAGGACAUCCCUUUAUGUUAUAUACUUUUAUGAUGAAGAUAAGAACCCACCACAUGCUCUUAGACGGAAACUUGGAAAAGCGAAUUUUUGAAUAAAUCACGAGGAACAAUUUUUGAAUUGAUUUUCUAGGUUGGAGCAGAAAUGGAAAUAAUUCAGCUAAUAUAAACAACAUGGAUAACAAGAUAAUAUUAUACCCAAAUAUCAGCUUAUCAUUUCUUUUCUUUUUCUGGCUUGUCUGUUUAAUUCCUAUAUAAAGAUUAAAUUUAUAAAUAUAUAUGCAAUGUUUUAAUGUGGCAGGACACAUUAAUACAAUAUCAAAAAACAACUUAUUAAUUUUAUUUCUAAACAAAAUGAACGCUUUGCUUGGUGUGUUUUAAAAAUUUCUUCAUGAAUUCAACCAAUUAUUGAGAAUUUGAGAAAAAUAAUGUAUUUUUGUCCUGCUUAUAAAAAACUUGAUUCUCAUAUUUUGGUAACAUCUCUGUUGUGACAUCUAGAAAUUCUAAGCAUUUGAGAAAUUUUACACUGCUUUUUAACACUGGAAACUUUGACAGCUGGGGCAAUUUUCUAGUCAAUCACCCCAGUGAAUCUAAAGCAGUAUCUUUUUCUAGCUUGUAUCAAGGGAAAUUACAGCAUGAUAUAAAGUUUCUCUCCUGAUUACAGAAGCUCCUUCAAUUGUGUCACGGAAAAGACUGAACACAUGCAGAUAUGUGAAAUGAAAAGCAGUCUUGACUGUUUAUUAUUGCUUGUUAACUCUUCCUGAGUGCAUAAAACGACAGUGACUUCAAAGUUACUGCAGAGAGAAGUGUAAUGCUUAAAAGAGAAAUGUCGUGCAAAUGAAUUUUGUAGUGGUGGUUUCAAAGCUUCUAGAAUUCUAAUCAAAGAGGCUCAGGGUUGGUUUGGAGAGACCUUAAAAGGAAUCCAAUCCCACCACCCAGCUGAGGCAUGAGUCCUCAUGUACAGAGUUCUUAAUUCUGCAGGGGAGAAAAGAGAGCUCAGAAACAUGGAACGACUUCUCCAGAAACUGAACCCAGCAGACCUACGACACAGCACAAGAUGAGGAAACCAGAUUCUAGAUUCCUACCCACCAAGCUGCCUCUGACCCUAAACCUCCAAAAGCUGGCUGUGUGCACCUGGGUAAGACAUCAACUUUCAGUCUCCAUUUCGCCAUCAAGAAACAGAGGCAUUUCAGUGUCCAGGAGCUGCAAUAACUACACGUCAUAAACCGGAGGGGCUCAAAACAACAGGAAUUUACUCUAAUAGUCCUGGAGGCCAAAAGCGCAAAAGAAGACAUCUACAAGAGUCCUUCCUUCUGGAAGUUCUGGGGCAACAUCGGUUCCCUGCCUCUAUCCUAGCUUAUAGUUGUUUGCCGGUGACCCGUGGUAUUUCUUGGUUUAUAGACUCAUCAUCCCACUCUCUGCCUCCAACUUUAAUUGGCCUUCUCUCCUGGAUCUUCUGUGUGUCUCUGUCUCUCUCCUCUUCUUCUUUUUUUUAAUUUUGAGAUGGAGUCUCACUCUGUUGCCCAGGCUGGAGUGCAGUGGUAUGAUCUUGGCUCACUGCAACCUCCACCUCCCAGGUUCAAGCAAUUCCCGUGCCUCAGCCUCCUGAGUUGCUUAGACUGCAGGUGAACACCAUGCCCGACUAAUUUUUUGUAUUUUUAGUAGAGAUUGGGUUUCACCACGUUGGCCAGGCUGGUCUCCAACUUCUGAACUCAGGUGAUCCAGCUGCCUUGGCAUCCCAAAGUGCUAGGAUUACAGGCAUAUGCCACCGAACCCGGCCCUCCUCUUCUUAUAAGGAUACUCCAAGGCAUACUGGACGUAGGGCCUACCCUAACCCAGCAUAACCUGAUCUUAACUAAUUACAUCUGAAAAGACACAUUCUGAGAUUCUGCGUAGACAUGAAUUUGGGGAGGACCCUAGUCAACCUAGUACAGAAAGUGAUAAUGGGAUUUAUUGCAUGGAGUAAUUGUGAGGAUUAAGUGCAUGUAAAUAAAUAUAGAGAAAAAAGAGCAGGGCCUGUCUCACUGUGAAAGUACAAUACACAUCGGCUUUAAUUAGUAAUGGACACUACGUUCAGGUUGUUAUUCCUACGAGGUACACAAGAUAGUUUCAUUUUACUCUCAAUUCUUUCAGCUCCUGAUGAUGAACUUUUAACAUACAAGACAGUCUCUAUUGGACAGAUGAGGCAAACUUUGCUCUCAAAAUAUCCCCUUACCUUUUUUUCCUUCAUUCUCUAUAAUUUUUGUCUAUGUUUUUAUCAGCUACUUGGGGACUAGAGAGGCUGGCAAUAAAGGUGAUCUGAGGCCUAUUAUGGUGGCAUUUGUCUUUGAACCCAACUGAUAAGGUUUGGCCGUGUCCCCACCCAAAUCUCAUCUUGAAUUGUAGUUCCCAUAAUCCCCAUGUGUUGUGGGAGGGGCCUGGUGAGAGGUAAUUGGAUCAUGGUGGCAGUUACCCUCAUGCUGUUCUCAUGAUAGUGAAUGAGUUUUCAAGAGAUCUCAUGGUUUUAUAAGCGGCUUUCCCUGCGCACUGCUCAGCACUUCUCCUUGCUGCCACCCUGUGAAGAAGGACGUGUUUGCUUUCCCUUCUGCCAUGAUUGUAAGUCUCCUGAGGCCUUCCCAACCACAAAGAACUGUGUGUGAGUCAAUUAAACCUCUUUCCUUUAUAAAUUA